AGAGAAUGAAGAGGAAAUGGCAGGAACAGGCUGCUAGAUCUGAGCAUGGAGCUUAUCCUCAGCCCUGGGGAACUGGUGCCAGUGGAUGAGACUGUCCAGUUGCAGGAAAACAAGCUCAGGGCUCCCACUGAUUCUACAUGAUGAGACGGGGUUUCGUCAUGUUGGCCAGGCUGGUCUCGAACUCCUGACCUCAAGUGAUCUGCCUGCCUCGGCCUCCCAAAGUGCUGGGAUUACAGGCGUGAGCCACUGUGCCUGGCCAAUUCACUUACAAAUUCAUGGACUAUUAUGAAGACAAGUUAAGAGAUUGUGUCCUCCAAACUCAUCAUUUUUCAGGUUUUACCAAAUGGGCUCCUGUUCUACAUUGUGUGAUCAUAGAUAUUUGUACUUCUUGGAUCAGCAAAAGAUGGGCAUUUACAGGAACCACCAUUGAGGCAAAUAAUGUCUGAUGUGGAGAGAAUACAAUGCCAAGUAUUGUAAUUGGUUUAUUUUUUGUUAUUUUUUAUAUAUUUUCUUAUAAGAAUAUAAGGCAAAAUGUGUCUCUAUAUUUAGUUGGAGAUGUGUAUACAGCAGUAAGACACAUACAUAGUUGCUGAUUCUACUCUUCAGAUAUCUGAGUGUCAUUUGUAAUCCUUCCCUUGGUCUACUGAGAGUGUUUUGUACUUUAAUAUAUUUAACGCAAUGUCGCCGUUUCACAGAUUUAUUUUAUUUUAAAAAGAUACACAGACUUCAGUAUAUUGUAGUAAACAAAAGUAGAAAAAUUAAGGCAGCAAUUGGAGAAAUAAUUACAUAUUCUUUCCCUGGGAUGUAAGCAUGCAAAAUACAUGAAGAUAUAUGCUUUUCAUUCGAAAUAAGGAAAAUAAAAGACUCUGCCUCAUGAUGCUCAUGAAAACAAUCAUUUUUUACUUUUUGGCAAUGGCUUUGGAGUGGAAGCACAUUACUGUCAUCUCCUGAAAGAAUUAAAUAUAAAGUGGAAACCCAGUGAAGAGGAAGAAAAUGCCAUAUAAAUUUCAAAUGAAGAUUUGGAACCAGAUUAUGAUGAACAAUGUUGCUAAACCUUGUGAUCUCUACCUUCUUUAGUCCCUCCUUGGGAAUAGCAUAACAGUGGACCCAGCCAUCUAGGAUUAUUUGAAGUAACUUUGGGUGGUACAGUUCAGAAGAAUCAACCCUAGAGAGCCUUAAAUAACAAUACCGAAAUGGGACAUAUUGCCAUUAAAUCUGUCCCUAACUUAAAAAUGUUUAACUAGAUGCUACAAAAAAAAAAAGUAAUACUUUGCUAAUACUUUCCAGAAAGAA
rnacentral:lncRNA from 1 species